GGGUUGUGAGGUUAAGCGACUAAGCGUACACGGUGGAUGCCCUGGCAGUCAGAGGCGAUGAAGGACGUGCUAAUCUGCGAUAAGCGUCGGUAAGGUGAUAUGAACCGUUAUAACCGGCGAUUUCCGAAUGGGGAAACCCAGUGUGAUUCGUCACACUAUCAUUAACUGAAUCCAUAGGUUAAUGAGGCGAACCGGGGGAACUGAAACAUCUAAGUACCCCGAGGAAAAGAAAUCAACCGAGAUUCCCCCAGUAGCGGCGAGCGAACGGGGAGCAGCCCAGAGCCUGAAUCAGUGUGUGUGUUAGUGGAAGCGUCUGGAAAGGCGUGCGAUACAGGGUGACAGCCCCGUACACAAAAAUGCACAUGCUGUGAGCUCGAUGAGUAGGGCGGGACACGUGGUAUCCUGUCUGAAUAUGGGGGGACCAUCCUCCAAGGCUAAAUACUCCUGACUGACCGAUAGUGAACCAGUACCGUGAGGGAAAGGCGAAAAGAACCCCGGCGAGGGGAGUGAAAAAGAACCUGAAACCGUGUACGUACAAGCAGUGGGAGCCUCUUUUAUGGGGUGACUGCGUACCUUUUGUAUAAUGGGUCAGCGACUUAUAUUCUGUAGCAAGGUUAACCGAAUAGGGGAGCCGAAGGGAAACCGAGUCUUAACUGGGCGUUAAGUUGCAGGGUAUAGACCCGAAACCCGGUGAUCUAGCCAUGGGCAGGUUGAAGGUUGGGUAACACUAACUGGAGGACCGAACCGACUAAUGUUGAAAAAUUAGCGGAUGACUUGUGGCUGGGGGUGAAAGGCCAAUCAAACCGGGAGAUAGCUGGUUCUCCCCGAAAGCUAUUUAGGUAGCGCCUCGUGAAUUCAUCUCCGGGGGUAGAGCACUGUUUCGGCAAGGGGGUCAUCCCGACUUACCAACCCGAUGCAAACUGCGAAUACCGGAGAAUGUUAUCACGGGAGACACACGGCGGGUGCUAACGUCCGUCGUGAAGAGGGAAACAACCCAGACCGCCAGCUAAGGUCCCAAAGUCAUGGUUAAGUGGGAAACGAUGUGGGAAGGCCCAGACAGCCAGGAUGUUGGCUUAGAAGCAGCCAUCAUUUAAAGAAAGCGUAAUAGCUCACUGGUCGAGUCGGCCUGCGCGGAAGAUGUAACGGGGCUAAACCAUGCACCGAAGCUGCGGCAGCGACACUAUGUGUUGUUGGGUAGGGGAGCGUUCUGUAAGCCUGUGAAGGUGUGCUGUGAGGCAUGCUGGAGGUAUCAGAAGUGCGAAUGCUGACAUAAGUAACGAUAAAGCGGGUGAAAAGCCCGCUCGCCGGAAGACCAAGGGUUCCUGUCCAACGUUAAUCGGGGCAGGGUGAGUCGACCCCUAAGGCGAGGCCGAAAGGCGUAGUCGAUGGGAAACAGGUUAAUAUUCCUGUACUUGGUGUUACUGCGAAGGGGGGACGGAGAAGGCUAUGUUGGCCGGGCGACGGUUGUCCCGGUUUAAGCGUGUAGGCUGGUUUUCCAGGCAAAUCCGGAAAAUCAAGGCUGAGGCGUGAUGACGAGGCACUACGGUGCUGAAGCAACAAAUGCCCUGCUUCCAGGAAAAGCCUCUAAGCAUCAGGUAACAUCAAAUCGUACCCCAAACCGACACAGGUGGUCAGGUAGAGAAUACCAAGGCGCUUGAGAGAACUCGGGUGAAGGAACUAGGCAAAAUGGUGCCGUAACUUCGGGAGAAGGCACGCUGAUAUGUAGGUGAAGUCCCUCGCGGAUGGAGCUGAAAUCAGUCGAAGAUACCAGCUGGCUGCAACUGUUUAUUAAAAACACAGCACUGUGCAAACACGAAAGUGGACGUAUACGGUGUGACGCCUGCCCGGUGCCGGAAGGUUAAUUGAUGGGGUCAGCGCAAGCGAAGCUCUUGAUCGAAGCCCCGGUAAACGGCGGCCGUAACUAUAACGGUCCUAAGGUAGCGAAAUUCCUUGUCGGGUAAGUUCCGACCUGCACGAAUGGCGUAAUGAUGGCCAGGCUGUCUCCACCCGAGACUCAGUGAAAUUGAACUCGCUGUGAAGAUGCAGUGUACCCGCGGCAAGACGGAAAGACCCCGUGAACCUUUACUAUAGCUUGACACUGAACAUUGAGCCUUGAUGUGUAGGAUAGGUGGGAGGCUUUGAAGUGUGGACGCCAGUCUGCAUGGAGCCGACCUUGAAAUACCACCCUUUAAUGUUUGAUGUUCUAACGUUGACCCGUGAUCCGGGUUGCGGACAGUGUCUGGUGGGUAGUUUGACUGGGGCGGUCUCCUCCUAAAGAGUAACGGAGGAGCACGAAGGUUGGCUAAUCCUGGUCGGACAUCAGGAGGUUAGUGCAAUGGCAUAAGCCAGCUUGACUGCGAGCGUGACGGCGCGAGCAGGUGCGAAAGCAGGUCAUAGUGAUCCGGUGGUUCUGAAUGGAAGGGCCAUCGCUCAACGGAUAAAAGGUACUCCGGGGAUAACAGGCUGAUACCGCCCAAGAGUUCAUAUCGACGGCGGUGUUUGGCACCUCGAUGUCGGCUCAUCACAUCCUGGGGCUGAAGUAGGUCCCAAGGGUAUGGCUGUUCGCCAUUUAAAGUGGUACGCGAGCUGGGUUUAGAACGUCGUGAGACAGUUCGGUCCCUAUCUGCCGUGGGCGCUGGAGAACUGAGGGGGGCUGCUCCUAGUACGAGAGGACCGGAGUGGACGCAUCACUGGUGUUCGGGUUGUCAUGCCAAUGGCACUGCCCGGUAGCUAAAUGCGGAAGAGAUAAGUGCUGAAAGCAUCUAAGCACGAAACUUGCCCCGAGAUGAGUUCUCCCUGACCCUUUAAGGGUCCUGAAGGAACGUUGAAGACGACGACGUUGAUAGGCCGGGUGUGUAAGCGCAGCGAUGCGUUGAGCUAACCGGUACUAAUGAACCGUGAGGCUUAACCUUACAACGCCGAAGCUGUU
rnacentral:rRNA from 1 species